GUUCACGUCGGCAAAUGCCGAAGCUACGCGGCGGAGAUCGAGCUUCAAUUCUUCCUAGUGUGAGUGAAUAUUUUCAGUUGGUAUUCGAGUCUGUUCUAAAUGCGCAAGCGCCCCUGGAGUUCCCCUUCGCUUAUAUGAAUUGAAUCGCCGUAGACGCGGCUGUCAGUAACGCUAUCGACUCUGAGCGAUUCGUAUCGUGCGAAUUGAAAGUGCAAAUUAUCCGAUCUCUAUAGUGAUAUACGAGCUCUGAUCAGUCGGGGAUUGAGCAAACAAAACUGUCAUAUAAAAUUAUAUCGAAAGGGAGAAAAACCUUUUCACCGAUAAUAUUGGGAGUUUAUUGCGGGUUGUGAGUGUCGAUUAUAUUCGCUUUAUUAGUUUUUUUUUAUCUAUACAAAUGUGUUGGCUCGUGCGUCUUGAAGUUACGUAAUAAAGGAACGCGGACGUUUGCACGAGGAGUGUGGUGUGAAAUUCCGAGGAGAAACGUCAGAUGACAUAUUUAUAAGGACACGAAGAGUACACACACGAUAUUUCACUUGACCCGGGUUUCCCGUUUGACGACGCGGAGGGUUUUGGUCGUCGGAGCAGUGACAUACGUUCGCAUUUGGACGAUUUGGCAUCGCGACAUCCGGAGUUCGCUGACCAUUUGUUAGGAUCGGCCUGGGGCGAUAUUCCAGCAUU
rnacentral:misc_RNA from 1 species